rnacentral:rRNA from 1 species
GACGAACGCUGGCGGCGGGCUUAACACAUGCAAGUCGAACGGAAAGGCCCUGCUUUUGUGGGGUGCUCGAGUGGCGAACGGGUGAGUAACACGUGAGUAACCUGCCCUUGACUUUGGGAUAACUUCAGGAAACUGGGGCUAAUACCGGAUAGGAGCUCCUGCUGCAUGGUGGGGGUUGGAAAGUUUCGGCGGGUGGGGAUGGACUCGCGGCUUAUCAGCUUGUUGGUGGGGUAGUGGCUUACCAAGGCUUUGACGGGUAGCCGGCAUGAGAGGGUGACCGGCCACAAUGGGACUGAGAUACGGCCCAGACUCCUACGGGAGGCAGCAGUGGGGAAUAUUGCCCAAUGGGCGGAAGCCUGAUGAAGCAACGCCGCGUGCGGGAUGACGGCCUUCGGGUUGUAAACCGCUUUCGCCUGUGACGAAGCGUGAGUGACGGUAAUGGGUAAAGAAGCACCGGCUAACUACGUG